GAAAAUCUUCAAAUCUUAAGAAAAUUGUUAAAAAUUGACUAUGAAGGGCAAUAACUCCUUAGGGGGUCAAUUGACUAUUUUGGUCAUACUGACUUAUUUCAGUUCUUACUUUGCUGUACAUUAUUGCUGUUUACAGUUUAUCUCUAUCUAUAAUAAUAUUCAAGAUAAUAACCAAAAACAGCUAAAUUUCCUUAAAAUUACCAUUUCAGGGGCAGCAACCCAAUAACGGAAUGUCGGAUUCAUCUGAAAAUUU
rnacentral:lncRNA from 1 species